rnacentral:misc_RNA from 1 species
GAUGAAGAACGUAGCAAAAUGCGAUAAGUAAUGUGAAUUGCAGAAUUCAGUGAAUCAUCGAAUCUUUGAACGCACAUUGCGCCCGCCAGUAUUCUGGCGGGCAUGCCUGUUCGAGCGUCAUUUCAACCCUCAAGCACAGCUUGGUGUUGGGACUCGCGUUAAUUCGCGUUCCUCAAAUUGAUUGGCGGUCACGUCGAGCUUCCAUAGCGUAGUAGUAAAACCCUCGUUACUGGUAAUCGUCGCGGCCACGCCGUUAACCCCCAACUUCUGAAUGUUGACCUCGGAUCAGGUAGGAAUACCCGCUGAACUUAAGCAUAUCAAUAAGCGGAGGA